AUGGCCAUCUUCGAAGAGUUCUAUGUUGGGUCUAUCGACCUCGGGCGCCUCAACUAUGGGAUCAUCUCGCUCAUCGCAAAGGUCCCGGGAGCCUCGGACAUCCAUCAGUUUCGUCCAAUCACGGUCAUCAACGUGAUUUUUCGGAUUCUGGCUAAAGGGUACGCCAAUAGGGUGACCCUCCUUGCUGACCAGAUUACCCACCCCAACUAGUCCGCCUUCAUUCAAGGGCGAUACAUUCUGGAUGGGGUGCUAGUCCUUCACGAAGUCCUCCAUGAGGUGUGCGCUAAACACCUUAAGGCGGUCUUCUUGAAGAUUGAUUUCCAUAAGGCCUACGACACGGUCAGUUGGCCCUUCCUUCGGGAAGUUUUG
rnacentral:rRNA from 1 species